rnacentral:misc_RNA from 1 species
GUGAAUCAUCGAAUCUUUGAACGCAAAUUGCACUCUUUUCUGAGAGGAUGCCUGUUUGAGGUUCAGUAUUAAUAAAAUCUGUAUUUCUUUUUUGUGACGUUCCGGAUUGUGGGCUACCUUUAACGUUCGGGUUUAAGAGGCUUAAAAUUGAUCUUUUUUGCGCACUGUUAGACGUACAUAAAUUUAUUUUUAUCGUCUAUUCUGGUGCCAAUUAUCUAUUAGGUUCGAUCAUGUUUAUCUUAUCUCGUGCCCAUAAGUCUCAUCUUUUGACCUCUAAUCAGA